AUCCUUGUGAAGGCUAGCACCAGGG
rnacentral:misc_RNA from 1 species